rnacentral:rRNA from 1 species
GACAGCAGUCGCCGCGGGAAUACGAAGGGUGCAAGCGUUACUCGGAAUUACUGGGCGUAAAGCGUGCGUAGGUGGUGGUUUAAGUCCGUUAUGAAAGCCCUGGGCUCAACCUGGGAAUUGCAGUGGAUACUGGGUCACUAGAGUGUGGUAGAGGAUAGUGGAAUUUCCGGUGUAGCAGUGAAAUGCGUAGAGAUCGGAAGGAACAUCUGUGGCGAAGGCGACUAUCUGGGCCAACACUGACACUGAGGCACGAAAGCGUGGGGAGCAAACAGGAUUAGAUACCCCAGUAGUCCCUGUCUCUUAUAC